CCNUACGGGAGGCAGCAGUGGGGAUUNUUGGCCAAUGGGCGCAAGCCUGAUCCANCCANCCGGGGGAGUGAAGAAGCCUNUAGGGUUGUAAAGCUCUUUCACCCGCGAAGAUGAUGCCGUUAGCGGGAGAAGAAGCCCCGGCUAACUCCGUCCCACCANCCGGGGUAAUACGGAGGGGNGAGCGUUCUNAUUUACUGGGNGUAAAGGGGGCGUAGGCGGAUGUUCGGUUCAGAGGUGAAAGCCCCGGGCUCANCCUGGGAANUGCNUUUGAAACGGGACAUCUUGAGUUNGGGAGAGGGUAGCGGAAUUCCCAGUGUAGAGGUGAAAUUCGUAGAUNUUGGGAAGAACCCCGGUGGGGAAGGCGNCUNCCUGGCCCGAUACUGACGGAGGCGAAAGCGUGGGGAGCAAACAGGAUUAGAUACCCNGGUAGUCCACCCCGUAAAGNUGGUGCGUUGGCCGUCGGGGUUCUUCGCUUCGGUGCCGCAGUUAANACNCNC
rnacentral:rRNA from 1 species